ACAUUACAACUUGGAUAAUAACAUUGUGGUUUUCUAGGCCAAUAUGUGGCCAGCAUUUCUAUACGAGUCUGACACAGGUAUCCCCUGUGUAGAAAGGAACUCUUUUUGGUCCAGACCCCAGCUGUAUGGCCUUGUGCACUGAGUUUGGAAGAGUUUCCACUCAGGACAGAUUUUCUCAUCUGGAGGAAAGGAGUAACACCUACUCGGGGCCCCACAUCCUAAACCCCUGUAGUUUGUGAAGCUCGGUUGAAUCUGCAAAGCUUUCGCAUGGGGUUGUAAUCGCUCACACAGCACCGGAUGUUUUGAGACUUGAACACGUGGCACAGCGGAAGGGAAAGGCCUUUGCUUCUGCAUUUGGGACAAGGUUGGGUCACCUCUGACUCUUCUCCAGGCUCAGCCAGUUUCAAACAGGGGGUGUGCCACAGGCCUUGGAGCAGGCCCAGACGGCCUAAGGCAGAGGCUUUUCUGCUCCCCCUCCCCUUCCCCGGGGGUGGGAGGAGCCUCCUCUGAUUGGCUGCCAGCCCGAGGCAGCCGCUGGCUCUUUCCUGCUGCAUCCAGAGGAUGGGAAUCACACGCGGAGCACUCGGCCUGCCCUGAGUUGGGAGGGUCCAUACUCCCCCUCCUGGCUCUGACAAAGAGGCCGGGAGAACCUCUGGUCUGUUUCACUUCUCCGUUUCAGGGACCUCAGAGGCACGUAGCUGCCAGCCAGCCAUCAGGGAAGCACCAGAUGUUUCCUAGGGACCCAGACCAGAACCCGUCUACCUUGCAGUUAGAACCCAGAAACUUGGUCUACUGGAAAAAAACAACUGUGCCAGAAUGCCCUGAAAUCCAGUGGAAAGAAGCCUAGCAAGGCCUCCUUACUAACUCCUCCACCAAAAAGAUAAAGGGAGUGACAGCCCCAACCCACAAGCUGACAGCUCAACCUACUACUAGUCAUUUCAAAUUCCACCUGACCCAGAAAAAAAAGCAGACAACAUGAGGAGUAGACCACUUCCCCAAGAUGCUGGGCAUGGGCUGAGUCUCUCUGGUCCAAGGAUCAGCAGCUCAUAGAACUCCCUGACUACGCCUUUGGUCAGCAUUGAUAGAACUCAUCUUGACCAAAAGGGGAAGAAUGUUAAAAGAAGUUAUGAGAAGGGCCUUCUUUGACCUCACUGACCUCAUGAUUGGAACAGGUCUUGUGAUAUCUCUGGAAAUUUACUGUACCUGGAUGGAUCUGAUCAGAUCCACAUCUGAAGUUCCUUGAUUUGAUCAGAUGUUGAUCAUGCCUUCCUUUUGCUGUCCCUCCCAAGCAUUCUUCCCUGUUGAAAUAUAUUUAAACUCUACCCCUCUACUCCCUUCUGCCCCACUUCCAGCACUCCUGCAUUCUGGUAUUGUGUACUGACCUUGAAUUGAAAUUCCUUUGACUCAGUUAAAGACUCUUAUUGUUGCUACUUUGGUAAUCCACUUUAUUUCAGAUUGAUACUAGCCAAGGGUCAAACUAUGAUGCUGGGAAAAAAAUGUGCAAUCCUAUAGUUCACAUGAACUGGUGACUGAACCCAUGAGUCCCAGGAUGAGCCAAAAAUUGGGACCCUGAUCAUUAAAUUCAACUUCUAGAUGGAAGAUGUCUGAACUUGGAUGGUACUUCUGUCAAAUAUUUUGCAACCACUGAAGCCUACUGCUCCAAAUAUGAAAAUGCAUACUCUUCAAGGGAAGAAAAAGAAUUUUCCUUGAAGCCUGUCUGCCAGUCAGAGGAGCAAGGCUCUACAAUCACUAGAGUCCAAAGUAAGGCUGUAUAAUAAAGGGUGAUGAGGAGGAGGGCA
rnacentral:lncRNA from 1 species